rnacentral:rRNA from 1 species
AUAAUGGGUCAGCGACUUAUAUUCUGUAGCAAGGUUAACCGAAUAGGGGAGCCGAAGGGAAACCGAGUCUUAACUGGGCGUUAAGUUGCAGGGUAUAGACCCGAAACCCGGUGAUCUAGCCAUGGGCAGGUUGAAGGUUGGGUAACACUAACUGGAGGACCGAACCGACUAAUGUUGAAAAAUUAGCGGAUGACUUGUGGCUGGGGGUGAAAGGCCAAUCAAACCGGGAGAUAGCUGGUUCUCCCCGAAAGCUAUUUAGGUAGCGCCUCGUGAAUUCAUCUCCGGGGGUAGAGCACUGUUUCGGCAAGGGGGUCAUCCCGACUUACCAACCCGAUGCAAACUGCGAAUACCGGAGAAUGUUAUCACGGGAGACACACGGCGGGUGCUAACGUCCGUCGUGAAGAGGGAAACAACCCAGACCGCCAGCUAAGGUCCCAAAGUCAUGGUUAAGUGGGAAACGAUGUGGGAAGGCCCAGACAGCCAGGAUGUUGGCUUAGAAGCAGCCAUCAUUUAAAGAAAGCGUAAUAGCUCACUGGUCGAGUCGGCCUGCGCGGAAGAUGUAACGGGGCUAAACCAUGCACCGAAGCUGCGGCAGCGACACUAUGUGUUGUUGGGUAGGGGAGCGUUCUGUAAGCCUGUGAAGGUGUGCUGUGAGGCAUGCUGGAGGUAUCAGAAGUGCGAAUGCUGACAUAAGUAACGAUAAAGCGGGUGAAAAGCCCGCUCGCCGGAAGACCAAGGGUUCCUGUCCAACGUUAAUCGGGGCAGGGUGAGUCGACCCCUAAGGCGAGGCCGAAAGGCGUAGUCGAUGGGAAACAGGUUAAUAUUCCUGUACUUGGUGUUACUGCGAAGGGGGGACGGAGAAGGCUAUGUUGGCCGGGCGACGGUUGUCCCGGUUUAAGCGUGUAGGCUGGUUUUCCAGGCAAAUCCGGAAAAC